rnacentral:rRNA from 1 species
CCUACGGGUGGCUGCAGUAGGGAAUAUUGGUCAAUGGAGGCAACUCUGAACCAGCCAUGCCGCGUGCAGGACUAAGGCCCUAUGGGUCGUAAACUGCUUUUGAACGGGAAGAAAUGUAUCUACGUGUAGAUAUUUGACGGUACCGUUAGAAUAAGGAUCGGCUAACUUCGUGCCAGCAGCCGCGGUAAUACGAAGGAUCCAAGCGUUGUCCGGAUUUACUGGGUUUAAAGGGUGCGUAGGCGGACUUAUAAGUCAGUGGUGAAAGCCUUCAGCUUAACUGAAGAACUGCCAUUGAAACUGUAAGUCUCGAGUUCGGUUGAGGUCAUUGGAAUGUAACAUGUAGCGGUGAAAUGCAUAGAUAUGUUACAGAACACCAAUUGCGAAGGCAGAUGACUAAACCGAAACUGACGCUGAGGCACGAAAGCGUGGGGAUCAAACAGGAUUAGAUACCCAAGUAGUC